rnacentral:rRNA from 1 species
UGAGUUUGAUUCUGGCUCAGAUUGAACGCUGGCGGCAUGCCUUACACAUGCAAGUCGAACGGCAGCACGGAGCUUGCUCUGGUGGCGAGUGGCGAACGGGUGAGUAAUAUAUCGGAACGUACCCUGGAGUGGGGGAUAACGUAGCGAAAGUUACGCUAAUACCGCAUACGAUCUACGGAUGAAAGUAGGGGAUCGCAAGACCUCAUGCUCGUGGAGCGGCCGAUAUCUGAUUAGCUAGUUGGUAGGGUAAAAGCCUACCAAGGCAUCGAUCAGUAGCUGGUCUGAGAGGACGACCAGCCACACUGGAACUGAGACACGGUCC